UUGGUUGUAGCUCAAUGGUAGAGUGCUUGCCUAUAGCACGCGUGAGGCACUAUGUUCAAUCCCCAGCACCAAA
rnacentral:tRNA from 1 species